rnacentral:rRNA from 1 species
GUAAUCGAUCAACCAUUCCAUUGCCGAAUGGUUCCGAUGCUACAGAUCCCCGAGACUCUCCUCUUAGGGGGUGUGACCAUGACUCUGUGCCUGGUCUGAGGAUGCCCUCCGUCGUCAUUCCUUAUAACCAGUUACCUGCCUUCAGACUUGGUCGGUACGGCGCACGUCCUACUGCCGGGAUACCCAACAUUUGACGAAAAUAUGCCCUUGUUUGCAGCCAUGCACAUGGCCAGACUCACAUGGCAUUCUUAUUCCUAGCCGAUUGAGGCACGGUCGUCGGCGCCAUUAUGCCUCCUAGGCUCGCAAUAGGCCUUAAUAACCCAAAUUUCCCACGCAUCCGCCGGCCUAUUCAGUCCCCACUUUCAGCCGUCGAGUUGACAGCGUCACGGAAACUAUGACAAACCGAACUUAAGCCAACUUCUACCGCCUUACUCUGUUCAUCGCCACUUUACGUAUCUAUACAGAGUCUUGGGGCUAACGCUUCCGUCAAUAGAUUCGGCAAUAACUGCGACUACGUGCUUUCGCACCCAUCGUUUGUCCUAAUCUAUGGGACCAUCAGGUGCGGGAUUUGCUACUAUUGAGCUACAACCGCUAUAUGUCAGUCGCAGAAUCGCUUUCGCAAUUCAUAGGUG